UGUUUUGUGCAUGUGCACCACGUAGUCACGUUUCGUUGUUAGUUUAUUAAUUUAUUUGUUUUGUUUUUUGCUAAGUUUCACUUUAUAAUAAAUAUGUGGAACUCAACAUCCGCUGCGCCUUGGUCCGUCUCUCCUCACGUACGUGACAGAAUAUCCCACCAACCAAGGACCAAGCAGCGUGCUACGAUGGGGAAAAUAAGUUGGACCUGGGAGGAAAUAAUGGAAGGACAGGAGAUCCUUCCUUGGCAGGAGUCACAGAGGACACAAGGUGAGAAGGGUGGAAAGCGACGACGCCGGGAUUCACGGCCACAGAGAAUGCCAAAAAACAGGCUGAAAAUAUUUGGGGGGGGCACAAGGGGUGGUCAGCAGAGCCGAGGAGUGAACCAGAGCCAGUCUGGGAGAAGAGGGAGAUCUCUUCCAAAGAUCUCAGAAAGAAAGCGGUCUGUAAUGUAAUGGAACAAACCCUUGGGUCCUGAGCAGUGAGCACAGAUGUACUGACCGGGGAGUUGGAACAACACAAAAGACAAGGGCUUGAAUCCACUGGGAGUGUUGGAGGAAUUUCUAUAAUGGCUAAUGUCUUAAAUAGGCCAUAAGAAAUAAUACAACACAGAGCAUGACCACAUGACGCCAAAAGAUGAGAAAAUGGCUAAAUAACAGUUACACUCUGGAUUCCUGAAAAAUAAGCAACUCAUUAACCAUUGAGGUGCCCUUUCUCACGCUCUCACUGUGAGCAUAUGGACCUGUCCAGGAGAGGCCCUAGUUGAAGCCAGAACCAACCGCAAGCUGCCAAAGCACUGUCACACCUGAGUACAGAAGAUCAAAGAGACUAACAGUGCCUACAACCGCACAGCUGCUGCACGGGCCAAGCUUUCAUCACUACUGCUGCUCCCUGCACCUUCACACAUGUGUUUCCAAGGUCGGCCACUAACACGGCUGUUUACCUGUUAUAGCUGGAUCUGGGGAACCAGUGACUGAAGGACAGAAGGACGGACAGACAGACGAACUGACUGACGGACGGUCAUGGGAACUUUCACCCAUGUCUCCAUGCUGUUAUAUGGGGUUUCACAUUUCAGACCUCUGGUUUGUGUAAGUUUUUGUUUGUUUGUUUUCUUGUUUAAUCGUGGAAAGCCACAAGCAGAGGGGAGAAUGCCAGGAGAGAGCUUCUGCCAUCUUGCUCAGCCAAACCAACCCAGUGGGGUUUAAUUGCAGUGGGGUUUCCACUUGUAAAACAACAGCUUUGGCUGGCAAUAGAGAGAGAGAGAGACAGGCAGCUUUUCCUAGCAGCGAGCGGAGGAGCAAGGCGGAGGAGGAGUAGAGAGUUGUCGGCUCGGCACCAAGCUCGGUGGUGCUCCACAUUGGGACCGUCGUUAAGAGAAUUCCGCAGGGACUUCUGGGGGAUUAAAUACUGAGUUAAACCAGGCAGCAACCUCUCUCCACACCACAAAACAUCCCCGAAAAAACUGUGAAUUCAUCCGAGCAACAACUAACGAACAAACAAACAAACAAAUAAACAAAGAAGUUGACAGAUAUUGAUAAUGUUUUUGGCGAGAACAGUAUUUUGGAAAUGUGUGUGUCAUUAUGGUUCUGUAAGAUAUUUGGGGUCGUGGAGGUUAGAGGGAGAAAGACAGGUCUGUAUAGGUCUGCUGCAACGCAAUCCCCAUUUAACAAACAUCAUUUAGGUAAUGUUAUUGACUUCUCAAACCAACUAAACCUUUAGCCUGGAUUGAUCUGGAAAAAAUCACCAAGGGUUCUCGUAAUGCUUUAAGCCCUUUCGUUUCCUGAGGGGAAUUUAUCUUAGUUCCUCUACAGAGAACAGACAGUGAAAUGUGGGGCGCUGUUCUUUACACGGUGUACUUUUCUUUUGCUUUAAUCAAACCCACCUCUUAGAGAGAAUGAACAUGUUGAAAGAAACACAGAGGCCUACAAAAUAAAAAACUAUUAUCAACCGUU